CCUACGGGAGGCAGCAGUGGGGAAUAUUGGGCAAUGGGCGCAAGCCUGACCCAGCAACGCCGCGUGAAGGAAGAAGGCUUUCGGGUUGUAAACUUCUUUUAUCAGGGACGAAGCAAGUGACGCUACCUGAUGAAUAAGCCACGGCUAACUACGAGCCAGGAGCCGCUGUAAUACGGAGGUGGCAAGCGUUAUCCGGAUUUGAUGGUUGUAAAGGGCGUUUAGGCGGGAAUGCAAGUCAGGUGUGAAAACUAUGGGCUCAACCCAUAGCCUGCAUUUGAAACUGUACUUCUUGAGUGCUGGAGAGGCAAUCGGAAUUCCGGGUGUAGCGGUGAAAUGCGUAGAUAUCAGGAGGAACACCAGUGGCGAAGGCGGCAUGCUGGACAGUAACUGACGCUGAGGCGCGAAAGCGUGGGUAGCAAACAGGAUUAGAUACCCUUGUAGUC
rnacentral:rRNA from 1 species